rnacentral:tRNA from 1 species
GCAGGUAUAGCUGAGUGGUAGAGUGUGUGCCUACCAUAUACAGGGUCCUGGGUUCAAUCCCCAAUACCUCA